UGGCUUUAGGAGCGUUUUGGUCCUUUGUCAUUCGGUGGUAGUGGCUGCGCUGGAAUUUCCUUUGUCUGCGUGGCUCUCAUUCCUUUCUUCUCAUCCACGUGGCUCUCAUGCUUUUCUUCUCAUUCUUGGCCUGUUCUUGGUCUUGGGAGCACCGCUUCAAUUCCUCAUUCUUCUUCUUAGCUUUCUCUGGCCAGUGGCGGUCAGCAAUUUCUCUCAUUCUCGGUCAGCAACUUUCUGCUCACAAUUUUGGCAGUCACCGAUUCCUAGCGGUCAGUGGGCGGUGGGGGACGAUUUUGCUAGCCAGAAAUUUCUGCUCACAAUAUUGGCACUCACCGAUUCUUAGCGUAUAUUCUCGAAAAGUUGAAACUUGUUGAAGAAAGGCAAAUGGAAGGAAGGGACUCACUUUGUUAUCUCUAAGCAGGUUUAUAUCAAUCAGUUUGCAUUACAAUUGUCAAAGGAAUUUAGCUUCUUAGAUUCCAGUUAGGAAGAAAGACUUUGGAUAGUGGACGUCGAUUUUAGUGCUGAACCACUAUAAAUCUUCUUUUUAAUUUUACUGCAUUUUGUUUA